rnacentral:pre_miRNA from 1 species
UGGAAGACUAGUGAUUUUGUUGUUCUGCUGUUGAGAAACAAGAAAUCACUAUCUUCCGGC